GAUGAACGCUGGCGGCGUGCCUAAUACAUGCAAGUCGAGCGAACGGACGAGAAGCUUGCUUCUCUGACGUUAGCGGCGGACGGGUGAGUAACACGUGGAUAACCUACCUAUAAGACUGGGAUAACUUCGGGAAACCGGAGCUAAUACCGGAUAAUAUUUUGAACCGCAUGGUUCAAUAGUGAAAGACGGUCUUGCUGUCACUUAUAGAUGGAUCCGCGCUGCAUUAGCUAGUUGGUAAGGUAACGGCUUACCAAGGCAACGAUGCGUAGCCGACCUGAGAGGGUGAUCGGCCACACUGGAACUGAGACACGGUCCAGACUCCUACGGGAGGCAGCAGUAGGGAAUCUUCCGCAAUGGGCGAAAGCCUGACGGAGCAACGCCGCGUGAGUGAUGAAGGUCUUCGGAUCGUAAAACUCUGUUAUUAGGGAAGAACAAAUGUGUAAGUAACUGUGCACAUCUUGACGGUACCUAAUCAGAAAGCCACGGCUAACUACGUG
rnacentral:rRNA from 1 species